CCAAUGACAGAGAAAAGUGCUCGAAAUCCCACCCCCGGCUCCUUUCCGCAUACCGGGUCAGCCCCGGCUGCGCCGCCGGUGCGGGGCCAGCGCGGAGCCACCUCGGCGGAGCGGGGAGCGGAGCCACGGGGGCGGGGGGCGGCGGCAGAGGCCCCCGCCGGUCUCCGCGGGGGCGGCGGGGCCGGGGAGGGGGGGGGAGAGCGGCCGGGCGAGCCCGGCUGCGGCCGCUUUACGACAGAUCCUGGAGAGCGGAUCGCGGUGGGGCGCGCCCCGCCCGCCGCUCCGCGCACAACCGCGCACGGCCGCGCAGCGCCGACGGGGCGGCCGCCGGGAGCGCGGCCCUGCGGAGAGCUGCGGGCGGCGGCGAGGCCCCGAGCGGCGACCUCCAGCGCGGCAAAAGCGGAGUCUUUCGUUGCCCCGCGGCGAAUCCCCUCAGGCCGCGGCUGUUCUCUCACGGACACCUCGCCUGCUGUUCCUCUGGGCCCGGACACAGCCGUGUCCCCGCGAGGAAAGGUCGCCUCCCCUCGGGGCCACUGCCCGGCCCCCCGCCCGCGCCCCCCGCCCCGCUGUAAACACCACAAACGGCCUCGCCUGAGGAAUAAAACCGAUCCAGAGCA